GGGAGGCCUGGCGUGCUGCGAUUCAUGGGGUCACAAAGAGUUGGAAACGACUGAACUGAACUGAACUGAACUGGAUAAUCCAAGAUCAUCCAGGAUAUAUCUCCAGCAGAUCUUCCCGACCCAGGAAUCGAACCGGAGUCUCCUGCAUUGCAGGCUUAUUCCAUUCUGGGAGGUGAUGGGAGACCUCACAUUCUGUGUGUAUGGAAUGACCGAAAAAAACAAAACAAAACUGAGAAAUCAACAGUUCUCUCCAUGGUGUAAAUGCAAAGAAGAUGGGCAACCUCGUAAACUCCUGGCUACCUUUGCUACCCCUGAAGUCACAAGCUCUUUAUUUAUCUUUUCUUCUUGAACCCUGAGAAAAGUAUAUCAAAGUGACUUGGUCAGCCAAACGUUUGUGCACUUAGGAACUGGCACUAUGACAAACGCCUGCUGAGAAGAGAAAAGAUUUCUGUGUUUCUUAGUGUCAUUUUCUCCCUUGAGAUGUUUCCAGAGACUUGAAAGGAAGGCUGUACUGAGGAACUGAUUAAAUUGGCUCAUAUUAAAAUCGAAAGUUGGUGUGAACAACCAGUCCUGUCUGCCUCUGCUCCCAGCCCAGCAAGCCCAGACAGUAAACAGUCUGCCUGCAAUGCAAGAGACCUGAGUUCGAUCCCUGGGUCCGGAAGAUCCCCUGGAGAAGGAAAUGGCAACCCAUUUAAGAGUGGAUUGGAAAUCUCCGAGGAUCGAUCAGGAAGCCUGAAAAACUCUCUGAUGGAAAAACUCUUUGACGGAACCUGCAGAAGCAAUAAAUAAACCCCAAGUCCCCCUUGCCCAAACUAAAGGGCAACGUCACGAUGCAAGAAUGUCUCCUUAAGCACCCCGACCGCCAACAAUGGACCAUUGCUUGGCAUCUUUCCCUUCCUCUAAAUCACUUUCAGUUUAAAUGGAAGAGGCUUUCUGUUGUCAAAGGCUCAUGGUAGGCUGAGUUUCUCU
ensembl:lncRNA